rnacentral:pre_miRNA from 14 species
AGUUAGAGUGAAAGACCCCCGGAGUGGGGAGACCCUCACUCAAGUCUCGGGAUGACGAAACCCCCCAAGAACUCACACAAGACC